CCUCUCAGUCUUCUCCAGGCGCUCCUCCUGGUGCCUCUGGACUUCUCCCUGCGCCCCGGACCUUAGGACCGCCCGCCGCGCUGGUGUUUCUUGUAAACAACAUUUUGUUAGAUUCUGGUUCCUAAUCCAUUCUGCUAUCUGCUUCUGUUUUAUGGGUGUUUCUUGUAAACAACAUUUUGUUAGAUUCUUGUUUCUAAUUCAUUCUGCUAUCUGCUUCUGUUUUACAGGAGUGCCUCUAUUUCACUCAGUGUCCAUUUUUUUUCCUCUGAAGAAUUCUACUCAGUUUUGUUGGCUUCCAUUACUUGCUUCAGGAUUGAGCUGAAAACCAUCCUCUGCAAGAGUCCUUUUCUGGUCCACCUGAACUCCCUGUCCACUUGAGGCAUCUCUUCUAAGUCUGCCUUCUUUCUAUUCUCCUUUUGUGUAGCGUUUCUCGCUGUGAACCCGCCCUAACUUGGUGUUAUGGAGAACUAGGAGACCAACCCAUUUCCCUGCUACGAUCCUCAUCAUUUGGUGGCCCGGUACAGGGAGAUCUUGUUGCUGAGCCCACAGGAAAAGGCUCUUGCAGAGGAACGGGGGUACAUCCUUUCCCACUCCAGUUGGUUUCAAACGCCCUCAAACCACCUCUUAAUCCCGGAGGCAAGUCAGUGGAAACUGAUCUCUGGUCUCCACCAGGCCACGCACCAGACCAGAAAUGCUCUCCAUUCCCUGGUGAAGCUCAUUCUCACAGGCCACAAGCUGGGAGAAACAAUCAAACAGGUGUGCCAGGCCUGCCCGGUCUGUGCGCAGUUAAAUCCUGAGGGAGCCGUUAAGCCCCCACCUCUCCUGAAGCCAGUCCAGAGGAGAGGCCGGACCCUGGCGAGGAUUGGCAACUAGACUUCACGCAUAUGCCCCUUGUAGAGGUUUUAAGUUGCUUUUGGUAUUUGUUGAUACGUUCACUAACUGGGUGGAAGCUUUUCCUUCCAGGACUGAAAAGGCCCACGAGGUAUCUAAGUGUUGCUGAAGGAGAUCAUACCACGUUUUGGGUUGCCCAGCUCCUUACAGAGCGAUAAUGGGCCGGCCUUCAUUUCUCAGGUAAUCCAAGGGGUAGCCAAGGCACUAAACAUCUCUUAUCAUCUGCACUCUGCCUGGCGUCCUCAAGCCUCUGCAAAGGUAGAGAAAAUGAAUCUUACACUUCAGAGGGUCCUCACAAACUCUGUUUGGAGACUAGGGAGGACUGGAUAAAGAAUCUCCCACUGGGGCUACUUAGAGUGAGAAUCGCCCCCGGGGAAGUAAUUAAACUAAGCCCUUUCGAACUUGUGUAUGGGAGGCCUUUCCUAGUCACUGAUAUCCUAGUAGAUGAGGACUUGCACGGAGUCACUCAGUUUGCUACUCAGCUCAGCGCAUUCCGAAAGGCGCUCUCUGAAUAUGCAAAGGAGCCACCUCCCUAGGCCCUCAGAAGCUUCAAACCAAAUCCCAUCUCCUGUCAAUCCAGGUGAUUUGCUGUAUUUGAAAACCUGGAAGCCCCAGGGAUCAGACCCUCUAAGUGUUAAGUGGAAAGGCCCUUACAAGGUCAUUUUACCCACUCCAACAGCAGUUAAACUGGAAGGGUCCCCCAGCUGGACCCAUAUCUCUAGAAUUAAAAAUGCUGCUUCUGUUACCUCUCCUUCAGAUACUCCAGUGUAUUCCUGUGAGCCCAUUGAGGACCUGAAGUAUCUGUUCCGCAAGACUUCUGGAAAAACUCUGGAGAAAGAAGGCUCUCUCUCUAAUCUCCCUCUCUCCUCAUUAUGAGGAUUCUACUCUUAUUGCUCUCUCUCCAGCUCUCCUGGUCUUACUCCAUGGGCCCUCGCUAUUGGGGUGACAACUUCCUGGUCAGACUAGGGAACUCUGUGGGGAGUGGGGGUGUCCAGGACUGCUGGGUGGGCCAUCACCACCCCCAGGGUGGCCCACAGAUGCGACCUAAUGCAUUUGUUGCAAAGGUCCCAUUCCCACGGGCCACUAUCUCCUCCCUGGACGCUGCCCCCUUCGUACUAGCUAACCCCCAAGGGAACUACUCUGACCCAACUGUCCCCUGCUUCUUGGCUGGGAAGGAUCUCACAACUACAUAUCACCACACUACGGGACAGUGGAUGUCACUGUUUCCCAGGAUGGCCAGGUCUAUAUCCCUGAUGUUGCGACACUGACCUGUACCACCAACACUGUGGGUGCAAGCAAGUGUGAUCUCUCUCAGACCUGCCGGAAUUUCACCUCGGCAACUUGCACCAGCUGUGUAAAAGGGUCCCAGGCCAGGUGCACUUUUGAUCGUGCACUUCCCCAGAAGGUGACCGUGGGAAACCCAUUUUGGGAUUAUCCUGGCAAGCUCCUUCACAGUGCUUCUGAAUCGCCUUCCCUACAGCUUCUCCAUAACCUUGUGAAAACUAACCUCCCAAUAGAUAGAAUGCUUUGUGACUACACUCAUCCACGGGGCCGAGCAACCAGGAGACUGCUUCAGAAUCUAACCUCAGGUACUGUCUGUGCACCUAAGGGAUAUGCCUUCCUCUGCAAAGUAAGUUCCCCAUCCCCCUCCAGUACCUCUCAGAGGCCUAUUAAGAGAAAUGCCUCUGAUUGGAACCCACUCCCACCUGUGAUUCUCUCCACCCGGUGCUUGACACCUUUCAAACACUAUGGGUCUUGCACCUUGGGCCACUUGAUUACCCCUUUCACUGUAUACAACACCAGUGCCCCAGACGCAGCCCCCACUCCUCUGAGGAGAUAUAAGCGAGGAUUCUGGGAGAACACUCUGUGGUACUUGAAGAAAGGGGCUGGGAUCUUGGGUUGGAUAUUUAGAGUAUGAAAACUUUCUCUCCAACCUGACAGCCACAAUCCACCAGUUUGCCAACGAAAUGGCUCAUUCACUGAGGGAGAUUCAGGAAUCUCUUGACUCGUUGGCUAAUAUGGUUUUGGAUAAUCGCAUGGCCUUGAAUUAUCUUUUAGCCUCCAGCGGAGGUGUCUGUGCUCUGGUCAACACCUCUUGCUGCAUGUACAUUAACAACUCAAGGAAAGUUGAGCUGCGCAUAGAGAGAAUCUUACAGAAGGCUGCCUGGUUGCAAGACAUCCAUGAGCAGUUACUCACACCUCCAAGUCCUCCUCUGGGUGGGGUUCCUGGCUAUGGUCCCUACUGGCACCUAUACUAACCCCUCUUUUGAUUAUUAUCCUUCUGCUCAUCUUUGGUCCUUACAUUUUCAGAUUGCUCGUGAAAUUUGUUUCUUCUAGGCUACAAGCUGCAAACUUCCAACUUCUCUUGCAACCCGGGAACCCUGAGAUAACUGAUGGGAAAACUCCGCAUCCACUGGACACUGUGGCUGCCGCUUUCAGAUCUCGCUUCUCUCCCCCAAGCACCACUUCCCCUUCUUUCCCCCUUUAGGUUGAGCUCUAUGACCAUUUCCAGCAGGAAGUAGAUACAGAAGAUUUGAGACCACCGACCCUUUUCCAAAAGAAUUUGUGUUUAUUGCUUGAGGGGGGAGAUGAUGAGGAUAAUGCAGCCUCACCCAGAAGAGCAUUUGCAUUCCCUGGGAAAGACUCUGUUCCCAACAUUAUGCACCUUUUGGAUGCAAAACCUACAUUCCCUGGGAAAGACUCCUUUCCCCCACCCAAUCUCAAGUAUGUUCCUUUCGGAUGUAAAACCCGAAUUGUUUUGUUUCUGUAUAAGAGUAAGCCCUGAGAAAAUGUUUUUCAGCAAUUCUUUGACAUUGUCCACCAAGAGAACAUUUUGGUAUCUCUUUCUUUAAUAAAGCCUUUUCUUAUCACA